rnacentral:tRNA from 1 species
GUGGUUGUGGUUCAGUGGUAGAGUGCUCAUCUUAGCACGUGCGAGGUGCUGGGUUCGAUCCUCAGCACCACA